rnacentral:rRNA from 1 species
CUCAGGAUGAACGCUAGCUACAGGCUUAACACAUGCAAGGUCAGGGGCAGCAGGGAUCUAGCUUGCUAGAUUCGCUGGCGACCGGCGCACGGGUGAGUAACGCGUAUCCAACUUCCCCUUAGUAGAGGAUAGCCCGGUGAAAAUCGGAUUAAUACUCUAUGUGUUCAAGGCAGACAUCUAAUUUGAACCAAGAUUUAUCGCUAAGGGAUGGGGAUGCGUCUGAUUAGGUAGUCGGCGGGGUAACGGCCCACCGAGCCAUCGAUCAGUAGGGGUUCUGAGAGGAGGGUCCCCCACAUUGGAACUGAGACACGGUCCAAACUCCUACGGGAGGCAGCAGUGAGGAAUAUUGGUCAAUGGGCGAGAGCCUGAACCAGCCAAGUAGCGUGCAGGAAGACGGCCCUAUGGGUUGUAAACUGCUUUUAUAUAGGGAUAAAGUGCAUCACGUGUGGUGUUUUGUAGGUACUAUAUGAAUAAGGACCGGCUAAUUCCGUGCCAGCCGCCGC